rnacentral:rRNA from 1 species
AUUGAACGCUGGCGGCAGGCCUAACACAUGCAAGUCGAGCGGUAGCACAGAGAGCUUGCUCUCGGGUGACGAGCGGCGGACGGGUGAGUAAUGUCUGGGAAACUGCCUGAUGGAGGGGGAUAACUACUGGAAACGGUAGCUAAUACCGCAUAACGUCGCAAGACCAAAGGGGGGGACCUUCGGGCCUCUUGCCAUCAGAUGUGCCCAGAUGGGAUUAGCUAGUAGGUGGGGUAAUGGCUCACCUAGGCGACGAUCCCUAGCUGGUCUGAGAGGAUGACCAGCCACACUGGAACUGAGACACGGUCCAGACUCCUACGGGAGGCAGCAGUGGGGAAUAUUGCACAAUGGGCGCAAGCCUGAUGCAGCCAUGCCGCGUGUGUGAAGAAGGCCUUCGGGUUGUAAAGCACUUUCAGCGAGGAGGAAGGCGGUGAGGUUAAUAACCUCAUCGAUUGACGUUACUCGCAGAAGAAGCACCGGCUAACUCCGUGCCAGCCGCCGCAGUAA